rnacentral:rRNA from 1 species
GGGAAUCUUGCACAAUGGGGGCAACCCUGAUGCAGCGACGCCGCGUGAGCGAUGAAGCCCUUCGGGGCGUAAAGCUCUUUCGACCGGAACGAUAAUGACGGUACCGGGAGAAGAAGCUGCGGCUAACUACGUGCCAGCAGCCGCGGUAAUACGUAGGCAGCAAGCGUUGUUCGGAGUUACUGGGCGUAAAGAGUGCGUAGGCGGUUUUCUAAGCUCGGUGUGAAAUCUCCCGGCUUAACUGGGAGGGUGCGCCGAAGACUGGGAAGCUGGAGUGUGGGAAAGGCAGGCGGAAUUCCUGGUGUAGCGGUGAAAGGCGUAGAUAUCAGGAGGAACACCGGCGGUGUAGACGGCUUGCUAGACCAUAACUGACGCUGAGGCACGAAAGCGUGGGUAGCAAACA